CAGCCGCCGCGGUAAUACCGGCGGCCCGAGUGGCGGCCACUAUUAUUGGGCUUAAAGCGUCCGUAGCCGGGUUGGUUAGUCUCCCGGGAAAUCUGGUCGCUUAACGAUCAGACUUCCGGAGGAUACUGCUGGCCUAGGGACCGGGAGAGGCCGAGGGUAUUCCCGGGGUAGGGGUGAAAUCCUGUAAUCCCGGGAGGACCACCUGUGGCGAAGGCGCUCGGCUGGAACGGGUCCGACGGUGAGGGACGAAGGCCAGGGGAGCGAACCGGAUUAGAUACCCGGGUAGUCCUGGCUGUAAACGAUGCGGACUAGGUGUCGGGCAAGCUAAGGGCUUGUCCGGUGCCGCAGGGAAGCCGUUAAGUCCGCCGCCUGGGGAGUACGGCCGCAAGGCUGAAACUUAAAGGAAUUGGCGGG
rnacentral:rRNA from 1 species